UAUUCAGCCACUUUCACCGUCUGGAACCUGUUUCCAGAGCCAAGGGGGCAUGUGUUUAGAAUUUAAACAGAUUCUCCUGGAAACACCCGUGCGAUGCAACUGCCAAGGUAGCCAAGGAGGCUGUGUGGAGGUUCCAUUGCUGCCUGAACACUUGGAAGGGAGAGGACCUCUCCUCCUGUCUGCCUGUGCUCACCGCAUGUGUGCCCGGGGUCACGUUCAGGGACAGUGUCUCUCCAGCGACCUCUUGGAAUGUCAUACGCAGUAAAACCCUGAGUCAUUCAGAACCUCCUGCCAGACAACGUGAGGCAGCAAUUAGAAACUAACCAUUAACUAGCUACAGGGGCAGGAGGAAAGAGACCAAGACAGAGUGUGAGCAGGGGAGGAGCAGAG